rnacentral:rRNA from 1 species
AUUGAACGCUGGCGGCAUGCCUUACACAUGCAAGUCGAACGGUAACAGGUUAAGCUGACGAGUGGCGAACGGGUGAGUAAUAUAUCGGAACGUGCCCAGUCGUGGGGGAUAACGUAGCGAAAGCUACGCUAAUACCGCAUACGAUCUACGGAUGAAAGCGGGGGAUCGCAAGACCUCGCGCGAUUGGAGCGGCCGAUAUCAGAUUAGGUUGUUGGUGAGGUAAAGGCUCACCAAGCAUGCGAUCUGUAGCUGGUCUGAGAGGACGACCAGCCACACUGGAACUGAGACACGGUCCAGACUCCUACGGGAGGCAGCAGUGGGGAAUUUUGGACAAUUGACGCAAGUCUGAUCCAGCAAUGCCGCGUGCAGGACGAAGGCCUUCGGGUUGUAAACUGCUUUUGUACGGAACGAAACGGCGAGCUCUAAUACAGUUUGCUAAUGACGGUACCGUAAGAAUAAGCACCGGCUAACUACGUGCCAGCAGCCGCCGUAA